UGGGGAAUAUUGGACAAUGGGCGCAAGCCUGAUCCAGCCAUGCCGCGUGAGUGAUGAAGGCCCUAGGGUUGUAAAGCUCUUUCACCGGUGAAGAUAAUGACGGUAACCGGAGAAGAAGCCCCGGCUAACUUCGUGCCAGCAGCCGCGGUAAUACGAAGGGGGCUAGCGUUGUUCGGAUUUACUGGGCGUAAAGCGCACGUAGGCGGACUUUUAAGUCAGGGGUGAAAUCCCGGGGCUCAACCCCGGAACUGCCUUUGAUACUGGAAGUCUUGAGUAUGGUAGAGGUGAGUGGAAUUCCGAGUGUAGAUGUGAAAUUCGUAGAUAUUCGGAGGAACACCAGUGGCGAAGGCGGCUCACUGGACCAUUACUGACGCUGAGGUGCGAAAGCGUGGGGAGCAAACAGG
rnacentral:rRNA from 1 species